GGGGGGAGCCCCGGAUCUUGGGCUGUGCCCCCUGGAGCCUUGGGCUCUCUGGCCUGCGCCGCUGGAAUAGCGCUCCUGGGGCCGUGCAGCCCCUU
rnacentral:pre_miRNA from 1 species